GAUGAAGAACGUAGCGAAAUGCGAUACGUAAUGUGAAUUGCAGAAUUCAGUGAAUCAUCGAGUCUUUGAACGCACAUUGCGCCCCCUGGUAUUCCGGGGGGCAUGCCUGUCCGAGCGUCAUUGCUGCCCUCAAGCACGGCUUGUGUGUUGGGCCUCCGUCCUCCUCCCGGGGGACGGGCCCGAAAGGCAGCGGCGGCACCGCGUCCGGUCCUCGAGCGUAUGGGGCUUCGUCACCCGCUCUUGUAGGCCCGGCCGGCGCUUGCCGACACAUCAAUCUUUUUUCCAGGUUGACCUCGGAUCAGGUGGGGAUACCCGCUGAACUUAAGCAUAUCAAUAAGCGGAGGA
rnacentral:misc_RNA from 1 species